rnacentral:lncRNA from 1 species
GGACAUAUGAUACAUGAUACAGAAAAUCACCUGAGCAGGUGUUUUCCAUCCGGCUGGAGCCGCUAGUUGCCGAAUUCAAGGAGCCUGGUUCAUUACUACCUGUGUCAUUUGCCUGACCUUGCCCCGAGACCGCAGUGGGAGCAUAACAAGACCACCAAAGGCUGAGAAUCAACCUCUUCCCUGGUCUUCAUGGUUAAACAUGCCAAACUGAACACGGCUGGAGUCCUUGCUGAGCUGCAUGUUUUGGGUUUCCUACCUGCUGAGGGGAGGUAUGUGUCCUCAUUUACCAGGCUGGGUGUGAAGUCUGCAAUUCUCUUCAAGGCAUUCUGCCUCUUUCCCUCUUUAUCCUCUGCUCCUCCGGAGUUUCUGCAUCUCUCUUCAUGCAUCCCAUUCCCAGAAACAGCUUCCUCAUACGUCCUCAUCCGCAUCAUUCUUGGAAACAAUACAUUGACCAAGCAGUCAUUCCUGGACAGCCCGAAACUUCUGUGGUGCUUAUGCAGGGAAAGAAAAGUGGAAAGUCACAAAUCCAACAGCCAGAGCUCUUUUAGAGAAUAAAUGCCUAAAGCUCACCUCACCACCCAAUGAGUUUUUGUUUUGUUUCCACAAGGAGCGCUGGGGGUAGUGGGUUUUAAUGGGUGUUUAAAGGCUAAAUCGGGGGGGCAACAGCACACAGCAUCUGAGCACAUGGCGUACUGCUUUCAGGGCUCCACACUUGCAGGCUAAUCAAUGCAAGUCCAGUUCCCACUGGGAGCAAACAUCUACCCAGCAGGACUGCUGUACUGGCUCCUGAAACAGAAGCCAGGCUACAAGCAAAUCUGCUGCCAACACAGAGAGCAUAAUUGGAAACCCUCGGCCUAGCUGCUCGCUCGUUAAUAAGAACAGAUUCAUAAUGUACCUGGCUCCUUCCACCUGCUCCUAGUCUAUAAUUAGCAACUUGUGCGUAGGUGGCAGCACUGGUAAAUUACCUCCAGUCUUCAGUGACAGUAACUCCUGUCUCUGAGAAGGAUGUGACAAAGGCACAAGGAAUAGGGAUAAAUGGCUACAAUAAUGCAGAAAGCCAUUAGCACUAAACAGCAACAAUAACCCUUUGCGUGUCAGCACCAGCUCUGCCUUCGUUUGUAUGAGUCUCCAUUGC